rnacentral:rRNA from 1 species
AUUGAACGCUGGCGGCAGGCCUAACACAUGCAAGUCGAGCGGAUGAAGGGAGCUUGCUCCUGGAUUCAGCGGCGGACGGGUGAGUAAUGCCUAGGAAUCUGCCAGGUAGUGGGGGAUAACGUCCGGAAACGGGCGCUAAUACCGCAUACGUCCUGAGGGAGAAAGUGGGGGAUCUUCGGACCUCACGCUAUCAGAUGUGCCUAGGUCGGAUUAGCUAGUUGGUGGGGUAAGGGCCUACUAAGGCGACGAUCCGUAACUGGGCUGAGAGGAUGAUCAGUCACAAUGGAACUGAGGCACGGUCCAGACUCCUACGGGAGGCAGCAGUGGGGAAUAUUAGACCAUGGGCGAAAGCCUGAUCCAGCCAUGCCGCGUGUGUGAAGAAGGUCUUCGGAUUGUAAAGCACUUCUAGUUGGGGGGAAGGGCAGUAGGUUAAUACCUUGCUGUUUUGACGUUACCAACAGAAUAAGCACCGGCUAACUACGUG